AUUCCACGCCACAAAAUUCACACCAUUUAAGCGUGGAUUUAGUUGUCCAGAUACUUUAUGGCGCCCAUUGCAUAUCAAGGAGUGUUAUUAAUAGAGUUUGCUGCCUCCAAUUCUUCAACAGCCUGCAGAUAAAGGAGUCGGAGUGACCGGUCUGGAGCUGCUGGAUCUGGUUGAUGGAGGUGGUGGUGGUGGAGGUGCAGGCGCAGGCGCAGGUGGAGCUGCUUGCUGGCUGCUGCUGAAGGGCUGGUCCAGGAGAUUGUUCAUACUGUUGCUUCUUCUAAAAGAGCUGCUGCUGAACAGAGAGCAAGGUCAGAGGUCAUGAGACUGCAGCUCAGAUGCGCAGCUGCUAGGAAAUGUGCAGUGUCCGCUUACCUGGGAACAGGUGGUCCAGGUGGUCCAUCUGUGAGGCCCACGUAAGCAGCAGGGAACCAGCCUUGCCUGAACAAUGGAGAUCAAAUGAUCAGGAGACUAAAUCAGGACCUCCGAGUGGAACCAGCGAAACUGAAUCAAAUCACACAGACUCAUUAAACAUGGGGUUGACUGUACACCCAAUCAAACGUGCAUUGUCAACAACACGCUAACAGAAGAUAUCAAACGAUGGAUCGAUAGUCAAGGAUGAAUAACAGACCACUCCCUCCAGCUCGUUGGUGAGUCUCCUCUGACUGUCUGACAUCUGUAUCAACACAUCACCUGCGAAGCAAACGCACGAGUAAAAGAGAAGUUUUCAUUUAUGAUCUUAUAACAUCCAUAGUAUCUGUCUGUGUGUUAAAGUAAAGGUAUUAGUCUCUAAAGGUUGCACUGCC
rnacentral:lncRNA from 1 species